rnacentral:lncRNA from 1 species
GGCCCAUUUUUAUUUUUAAAAAAUAAAUUCACAAAAAUACUGAACUCUGAGGAAAUUCAUAACGGAAAGUCCCUAAUCACAUGGCAAAAUUGUCUAUAUUCACAAAGGUACAAUCUUUAAAGUUAAUGUAUAAUAUUGUCUUAACCACAGUGAAACUGAGCAACUAGCCUUUGCACAAAGAACAACACAUUUUAAAAAAGUUUCGUGUGUCCUUAACAAGCGUUGGAAUGUCAAUUACAAUAAGUAGUCCUAUCACAAUCGUCAAUAUCACUACGCCAACAUAUCCAAUGCUUUGAGCAGAAACACGGUUAUCUGGGGCGCUCGUUAAUCUUCUUUUAUACGAUGACGUCUCUUUUUUGUCAAGUGUUAGCUCUGUCUGUAUUUUAUCUAUUUUUGCUUGUAAUUCUUCUGUUG